CCAAACUUGGUCAUUUAGAGGAAGUAAAAGUCGUAACAAGGUUUCCGUAGGUGAACCUGCGGAAGGAUCAUUACUGAGUUAGGGUGGCUCCGCCGCCCGACCUCCCAACCCUUUGUUUAAACCGACCCACGUUGCUUCGGCGAGCCGCGCCCCUCAGGGGGAGCGCCGGGGGCUUCGCCGCCCCUGGAGAGCGCCCGUCGACAGCCAAUUUUAAACUCUUUACAAAAUACCUACCUAAAACUUGUAUAUCUUCAAUGAUAAAACAAAACUUUCAACAACGGAUCUCUUGGUUCUGGCAUCGAUGAAGAACGCAGC
rnacentral:misc_RNA from 1 species